rnacentral:rRNA from 1 species
GACGAACGCUGGCGGCGUGCUUAACACAUGCAAGUCGAACGGUAAGGCUCCAGCUUGCUGGGGUACACGAGUGGCGAACGGGUGAGUAACACGUGGGUGACCUGCCCUGCACUUCGGGAUAAGCCUGGGAAACUGGGUCUAAUACCGGAUAGGACCGCACCGUGAGGGUGUGGUGGAAAGUUUUUUCGGUGUGGGAUGGGCCCGCGGCCUAUCAGCUUGUUGGUGGGGUAAUGGCCUACCAAGGCGGCGACGGGUAGCCGGCCUGAGAGGGUGGACGGCCACAUUGGGACUGAGACACGGCCCAGACUCCUACGGGAGGCAGCAGUGGGGAAUAUUGCACAAUGGGCGGAAGCCUGAUGCAGCGACGCCGCGUGGGGGAUGACGGCCUUCGGGUUGUAAACUCCUUUCACCAUCGACGAAGGGUUUCUGACGGUAGAUGGAGAAGAAGCACCGGCUAACUACGUGCCAGCAGCCGCGGUAAUACGUAGGGUGCGAGCGUUGUCCGGAAUUACUGGGCGUAAAGAGCUCGUAGGUGGUUUGUCGCGUCGUCUGUGAAAUUCCGGGGCUUAACUCCGGGCGUGCAGGCGAUACGGGCAUAACUUGAGUACUGUAGGGGAGACUGGAAUUCCUGGUGUAGCGGUGAAAUGCGCAGAUAUCAGGAGGAACACCGGUGGCGAAGGCGGGUCUCUGGGCAGUAACUGACGCUGAGGAGCGAAAGCAUGGGGAGCGAACAGGAUUAGAUACCCUGGUAGUCCAUGCCGUAAACGGUGGGCGCUAGGUGUGGGUUUCCUUCCACGGGAUCCGUGCCGUAGCUAACGCAUUAAGCGCCCCGCCUGGGGAGUACGGCCGCAAGGCUAAAACUCAAAGGAAUUGACGGGGGCCCGCACAAGCGGCGGAGCAUGUGGAUUAAUUCGAUGCAACGCGAAGAACCUUACCUGGGCUUGACAUAUACAGGAUCGCGCCAGAGAUGGUGUUUCCCUUGUGGCUUGUAUACAGGUGGUGCAUGGUUGUCGUCAGCUCGUGUCGUGAGAUGUUGGGUUAAGUCCCGCAACGAGCGCAACCCUUGUCUUAUGUUGCCAGCACGUUGUGGUGGGGACUCGUAAGAAACUGCCGGGGUUAACUCGGAGGAAGGUGGGGAUGACGUCAAAUCAUCAUGCCCCUUAUGUCCAGGGCUUCACACAUGCUACAAUGGUCGGUACAGUGGGUUGCCAGUCCGUGAGGGCGAGCUAAUCCCGCAAAGCCGGUCUCAGUUCGGAUCGGGGUCUGCAACUCGACCCCGUGAAGUCGGAGUCGCUAGUAAUCGCAGAUCAGCAACGCUGUGGUGAAUACGUUCCCGGGCCU